GACGACGUGGCCGAGUGGU
rnacentral:snRNA from 1 species